rnacentral:rRNA from 1 species
AACGAACGCUGGCGGCGUGCCUAACACAUGCAAGUCGAACGAGAAAGCCCUUCGGGGUGAGUAGAGUGGCGCACGGGUGAGUAAUGCAUGGGAACAUACCUUCAGGUGGGGGAUAACAGUUGGAAACGACUGCUAAUACCGCAUGGUCUCUUCGGAGUAAACGAGGCCUCUACUUGUAAGCUACGGCCUGAAGAUUGGCCCAUGUCGCAUUAGCUAGUUGGUGAGGUAAUGGCUCACCAAGGCGACGAUGCGUAGCUGGUCUGAGAGGAUGAUCAGCCACACUGGAACUGAGACACGGUCCAGACUCCUACGGGAGGCAGCAGUGGGGAAUAUUGCACAAUGGGCGCAAGCCUGAUGCAGCAACGCCGCGUGGGUGAAGAAGGCUCUUGGGUCGUAAAGCCCUUUUCGGCAGAGAAGAAGGGCACAGAUUCGAAUAGGGUUUGUGUUUGACGGUAUCUGCAUAAGAAGCACCGGCUAAU